AUGGUGUAUGGUUUUCUCUGAAAUUAUACUACAAGUUUCCAUACCACAAAGGGAUGGUUAGGAUUUGCUUUGGGGGGUUAUGGCUCAAACCGUUUAGGAAUUAGGGGCAAAAAAGGGGGAAAAACAAGGUUGUCCUGGUUAAUGGACAAAUACUUUAGUACAAAACAUAAUUUAAAGCAGUGUAAGGGAGAUAAAUCAAAUACAUCAUUGAAAUUAUCUCCCUUACACUGCUUUUAAAUUAUGUAUAAAGUAAUGGUUAAUGAACAAUAAAGAUAAUUUAAAACAGUGUAAGGGAGGUAAUCCAAAUACAACGUUUUGGUUACUUCCCUUACACUGCUUUUAAAUUAUGUUUAAAGAAAUACAUAUUUAUAAAGGAAGACCAGUAAAAAUAUCUGCAAAUGUUGCAUCUUUUUUUUUUACAAAAAAAUCCAUAUGAAAGAUUUGACACUAUAUUUUUAAUUCUAUUAUAAAAUAGAUUAAGUUAGCACUAUGGUAAAUUUAAAUGGGUAAUUAUGGUUGCCAACUCCAUUGGAAAUUUGAAUUGAGAUUAUGACCAUAUCUUGAGGGAAAGAAUUUUUUUGGGGAAAAAGGGGGGGGGGAUAAAAAGAAAUUGUGGGGGGUCAAUUUUUUCUCAUUUCAGAUUUCAGAAAUUAAAAAGAAUUAUUCUUCAAAUAUUAUUUUUUUUUCAAAUUUCAAAUAUUGAAAAAUUUCAAGAAGUAAUCUUUAAUUGCACAGUAUGGCACAUUAGAUUUGUAAAAUCUUUGAUCACAUUUAUUUAUUUGUUAUGCCGAAUCUAACAGUGUAUUUAGAUUUUUAAUUUUGGGUCCAGUUUUCAAAUUGGUCUACAUUAAGGUCCAAAGGGUCCAAAAUUAAACUUUGUUUGAUUUUAGCAAAAAUUGAAUAUAUGAGGUUCUUUGAUAUGCUGAAUCUAAACAUGUAUUUAGAUUUUUUAUUUGUGGACCCCGUUAUCAAAUUGGUUCAUAUUGAGGUCAAAAGGGUCCAAAAUUAAACUUUGUUUGAUUUCAUCAAAAAUUGAAUUAUUGGGGUUCUUUGAUAUUCCAAAUCUAACCGUGUAUUUAGAUUUUUAAUUUUAAGUCCCGUUUUUUAAAUUGGUCUACAUUAAGGUCCAAAGGGUCCAAAAUUAAACUUAGUUUGA